GACAGAGGUCCCGAGCGUUGCUCGGAAUCACUGGGCGUAAAGCGCACGUAGGCGGACUCUUAAGUCGGUGGUGAAAUCCUGGAGCUCAACUCCAGAACUGCCUUCGAUACUGAGAGUCUCGAGUCCGAGAGAGGUGAGUGGAACUGCGAGUGUAGAGGUGAAAUUCGUAGAUAUUCGCAAGAACACCAGUGGCGAAGGCGGCUCACUGGCCCGGUACUGACGCUGAGGUGCGAAAGCGUGGGGAGCAAACAGG
rnacentral:rRNA from 1 species